rnacentral:rRNA from 1 species
GACGAACGCUGGCGGCGUGCUUAACACAUGCAAGUCGAGCGGACAGGCCAUGCGUUUGUGGGGUGCUCGAGUGGCGAGGGGGUGAGUGACACGUGAGGAACCUGCCCCUAUAUGUGGGGUAACACCAGGGAACAGGGGCUCUUACCGGGUAGGAGCUCCUGAUGCGUGGGGUGGGAUGGUGAGAUUCGGCGGUUGUGGCUCGAAUCGCGGCUUAUCCGCUUCUUGGGCGGGUAGUGGCUUUCCAAGGCUUUGACGGGUAGCCGGCCUGAGAGGGUGAACGGCCACAAUGGGACUGAGAGACGGCCCAGACGCCAACGGGAGGCAGCAGGGGGGAGUAUGGCAGAAUGGGCGGAAGCCUGAGGCAGCAACGCCGCGUGCGGGAUGACGGCUUUCGGGUGGUAAACCGCUGUCGAAGGUGACGAAGAGGGAGUGACGGUAACGGGUAAAGAAGCACCGGCUAACUACGUG